AAAUAUCAACUCAUCGAAGUGAACCGAAUUUCUUUCUCUCUUCUUCUUCUUCUUUCUUCUACUUUCUCACUACAAAGCCGAAGCCAUGUUUGAGGACUCUGUAUUUUCCAUAGCCACAAUCUGGGCUUCCAUGAACAGUUGGCUCACACCCACUGUUCUCUUUCUCCUCCUCAACCUAGUGAUCGCCACCAUUUUCAUAACCUCGACCUUAACCUCACCAGACCAAAACCAGAACCAGAACAACCACCAUCAACAACAACGACUUCAUCCCCAACUCGUUAGAUCUCUUUCAGUUUUGAAGAAACUCAAAUCCUUCAACUUCAACACUUACAGAGCUCAAGAACCCACCACCCAUUUGCAAAAAAGCCCAGCAGAAUCCGAUGAACACUUCGAACAACCACAAGCACAACAACAACAAGAGCCCCAUUUGGCCAGGUCUCCGUCGAUGCUUCAGAGGCUCAUAUCCAUCAACUUCUACCAUCACUUAGCCCCAGCUAAGUCUCAAAAUCAAAACCUUGGAAACCCAGAACCAACGACGACCCGCUUCGAUUCCGAACAAGAGCAAAACCAACACAUCGAGUGGUCAGACUCAGAGUCAGAAGAAGAAGAAGAGACCCGAGACCAGUUCGAAGACGAGGUCCAUCAUGAUGUUCACAGCCAGCUGAAGACCGGUGGUGGUGGUGGUGGUGGUCACGUGGCCAGGACCAGCUCCGACACCAAACCCUCCAACGGCGAGGCUCCGCCGAAGCUGUCGAGGAAGUUGAAGAAGUCGGCUAGUGCGAAAUCGGCUUUCGGCCAUUUUAAGGAAGAUGAUAUCGUGGGGAUUCGCCGGCCGGAGACUGUGAGAGAAGGGAAAGCUAAGGAAGCGAAGGCGAAGACGGAGGAGGAGUUCGACGCCAAGGCCGAUGACUUCAUCACCAAGUUCAAGGAAGAGCUGAAGUUGCAGAGGCUUGAGUCCGUCACGAGGUACAAGGAGAUGAUCGGAAGAGGGGCUGCACAGUAAUAAAAAAAAACUUCAAAAAAGUAUUGGCUAAGCAUAAUUGGAUUAUACAUUGGAGGGUGAAAUCUUGUUGAGGGCAAAGGACUCCAAGUAAGAACAAGGGCAAUGCAGAGCAGUAAGCGCUGGAGUCUACCUUGCGAAUGUACAUGUGGACUGACCUUUUGGGAAGUCAUUUUAUUGUUGAAAAUGUUGUGUUAUUUUCCUAAACUAGGCUCACUCAACUCUUUAUUAAAUAUGUUUGUAUUAAAUGUUAAGUUUGGCCAUACGACUUUUAAAAAAAAAAAAUUAUACGGGUUUUUGAGUCAUUUGAUUAAAUGAAAAUAUUUAUAUUUCCACAUUA